GGGUGUAUAGCUCAGUGGUAGACCAUUCGACUGCUGAUUGGGAGGUCCCCAGUUCAAACCCGGGUGCUCG
rnacentral:tRNA from 1 species